GGGUGGUCUGAGUGCAUUGGUGUUUAUAGCUAAUUGAUCAAACCAGUCACUGAUUUUGUUGUUCCUUCUCCACUCCCACUGCUUCACUUAACUAGCCUUAA
rnacentral:Y_RNA from 1 species